CAGUAUAAAAAUGCAUUGAAGAGUAGCUGAUGAUAACUUUUAGUGCUUUUUGUCUUGAAAGAAGCUUGUGAUUUUAAACUAACUAUAUUGUUGGUAUUUUUUUAGUUAGUGACCUUUUUUAAAAAAGUGAAUAAUUAUUAAAAGGCUAUACUAUUUUAAUUUUUAUAGGUUUGAAGCUUAAGAUGUCUGGAAUUAACAAGAAAAAAAAGGUAAAAUCUCAUGCUCAAUCCAGGUCUUCCAGAGCGGGACUGACUUUCCCAGUUGGUCGUAUUCACAGACUGCUGAGGAAGGGUAACUAUGCAGAAAGGAUCGGAUCUGGGGCUCCAAUAUACCUUGCAGCAGUUCUUGAAUAUUUGACUGCAGAAAUAAUGGAGCUUUCUGGGAAUGCAGCUCGUGAAAACAAGAGAAACAGGAUCACACCAAGGCACAUCCAGCUGGCUGUGAGAAAUGAUGAGGAAUUCCACAAACUGCUUGGAGAUGUAACCAUUUCUGAAGGAGGGGUUCUGCCUAAUAUUCAGCCUUCACUUCUGCCAAGAAGAAAAGGUCUUGAAAGUAAAGACUUGGAUUCUCAGCUCUGAGUGCUAAUGGAACACUUGGAUUUUUAUAAAUUGUUAAAUUAUAUUUUCUAAUGGAACACUUGUCAUAUUUAAUCUAUUUAUAAAUCCUAAAUAAAGUUUACCUUUAACUCCA